ACUGGCAGACAGCUCCGGGCAGCCGUGCAUCCGCAGCAACGCUUUCUGAACCGAAGGCAUCACUUCCGCCUACGGGAAGCCGCGCCCCUUCCGGUGUCGUGGCGGCUCCCGAGCAGUUGCCUGUCAUCCGGUGACCUUGCCCGAGCUCUUGCUACAUCUGCUCCUGCCCCACUGCUAUGCUGGCAGUUUGGGAAUGAGGAUUGCCUACAUCAGACUAUCAAGUUAAAAGCAAAAGAAGAGAACAGCAGAGUAGCAGGCCUGCGUGGGAUAGAGGAGUGCUGCAGAUUCCCAGGCACUCACUGACCCUGAAGAAGAGCAAAGAGUUGUAAAUAACUUUGGGAAUUUGCCAUCUGGACAAUGUUAUGUCCUGGUACCCGUUGCCUGCGGUGGGAACGGGUAGAUAAGGUUUUAUGUUAAAAGAAAGAGCGUUUUGAGGUGUAAAUUGUAGAUCAAUCAAUAGAUAUUGGAAUACUAUAUAAGUCUUGCGAGCCACACAAUAAACAAUUCUGUUUGUGCACAGCA